rnacentral:tRNA from 1 species
AUCCUGAUAGCUUAAAAUAAAGCACAGCACUGAAGCUGCUGGCAUGGCCCUUUGGCCUCAGGGUA